rnacentral:rRNA from 1 species
CGGAGGAUCCAAGCGUUAUCCGGAUUUACUGGGCGUAAAGAGUUGCGUAGGUGGUUUGCCAAGUUUCCGUUUAAAUGCCAAGGCUCAACCUUGGAAGUGACGGAAAAACUGGCAAACUCGAGAAUGAGAGAGGUCACUGGAAUUACUAGUGUAGGAGUGAAAUCCGUAGAUAUUAGUAGGAACACCGAUGGCGUAGGCAGGUGACUGGCUCAUUUCUGACACUGAGGCACGAAAGCGUGGGGAGCGAACGGGAUUAGAUACCCCGGUAGUCCACGCCGUAAACGAUGGAUGCUAGCUGUAAGGAGUAUCGACCCUUCUUGUAGCGAAGCUAACGCGUUAAGCAUCCCGCCUGGGGAGUACGGUCGCAAGAUUA